AACCCCUGUGACAUACCAAUUGUUGCCUCGGCGGAUCAGCCCGCUCCCGGUAAAACGGGACGGCCCGCCAGAGGACCCCUAAACUCUGUUUCUAUAUGUAACUUCUGAGUAAAACCAUAAAUAAAUCAAAACUUUCAACAACGGAUCUCUUGGUUCUGGCAUCGAUGAAGAACGCAGCAAAAUGCGAUAAGUAAUGUGAAUUGCAGAAUUCAGUGAAUCAUCGAAUCUUUGAACGCACAUUGCGCCCGCCAGUAUUCUGGCGGGCAUGCCUGUUCGAGCGUCAUUUCAACCCUCAAGCCCAGCUUGGUGUUGGGACUCGCGAGUCAAAUCGCGUUCCCCAAAUUGAUUGGCGGUCACGUCGAGCUUCCAUAGCGUAGUAGUAAAACCCUCGUUACUGGUAAUCGUCGCGGCCACGCCGUUAAACCCCAACUUCUGAAUGUUGACCUCGGAUCAGGUAGGAAUACCCGCUGAACUUAAGCA
rnacentral:rRNA from 1 species